CAAUAGCGUAUAUUAAAGUUGUUGCGGUUAAAAAGCUCGUAGUUGGAUUUCUGCCGAGGACGUCCGGUCCGCCCUCUGGGUGAGUACAUGGCACGGCCUGGGCAUCUUCUUGGGGAACGUAUCUGCACUUGACUGUGUGGUGCGGUAUCCAGGACUUUUACUUUGAGGAAAUUAGAGUGUUUCAGGCAGGCUCGCGCCGGGAUACAUUAGCAUGGAAUAAUGGAAUAGGACUUUCGCCUCUUCUGUUGGUCUGAGGGGUGGAUCGUAAUGAUUAAUAGGGAUAGUUGGGGGCAUUAGUACUUAACUGUCAGAGGUGAAAUUCUCGGAUUUGUUAAAGACUAACUUAUGCGAAAGCAUUUGCCAAGGAUGUUUUCAUUAAUCAAGAACGAAAGUUAGGGGAUCAAAGAUGAUCAGAUACCAU
rnacentral:rRNA from 1 species